GAACCGUUUAGGGGUAAACCUGAGAAACCCGAAAGGUCGAAGGGAGAAAUUCAUUCGCGUUUCGCCGUUGGCGUGAGACGGUCGUGUGACGGAAAACGUUCGCGUUUUCCGCGCCUUUCGUUUUUCGAUCCGAUAGCGAACGCGUGCACUUUUCUCCUGGUAGGACGUCGCGAUCCGUUGGGUGUCGGUCUACGGCUCGCGGUGGAGCCCGGAUGUACGGCUUGCCGUCACGUCCGGACCCGCGUGUCCCGGCUGACUCGCUCGACGGUAUACGAAAGGUUUAAGGCCGCUCUUUGAGCGUUCGGCUCGUCGCAAGCGCGUCAGAUGUGUCGGUGAUCGGACCUAGUGCCGGUUCUGACCUCUGGCGACUGUUGGCGGCGAAGUUCUCGAACAGACCUUCGACCGAUCUGCGACGCUAUAGCUUUGGGUACUUUCAGGACCCGUCUUGAAACACGGACCAAGGAGUCUAGCAUGUGCGCAAGUCAUUGGGAAUCACUAAACCUAAAGGCGCAAUGAAAGUAAAAGUCCGCCUUGCGCGGACUGAGGGAAGACGAGCGGUUUACCCUUAAAAGUGGCCGCUCCGCAUUCCCGGGGCGUCUCAUUCUCAUCGCGAGAAGAGGCGCACCAUGAGCGUACACGCUGGGACCCGAAAGAUGGUGAACUAUGCCUGGUCAGGACGAAGUCAGGGGAAACCCUGAUGGAGGUCCGUAGCGAUUCUGACGUGCAAAUCGAUCGUCGGAACUGG
rnacentral:rRNA from 1 species